rnacentral:rRNA from 1 species
GAGUUUGAUCGUGGCUCAGGAUGAACGCUAGCGGCAGGCUUAAUACACGCAAGUCGUGGGCAGCAGCUCUGUAGCAAUACAGAGGCUGGCGACCGGCAAACGGGUGCGGAACACGUACGCAACCUACCCAUAACUGGGGAAUAGCCCGGGGAAACCCGGAUUAAUACCCCGUAACAUAUUGAUAAGGCAUCUUAUUAAUAUUAUAGCUCCGGCGGUUAUGGAUGGGCGUGCGCCUGAUUAGGUAGUUGGCGGGGUAACGGCCCACCAAGCCUACGAUCAGUAACUGGUGUGAGAGCACGACCAGUCACACGGGCACUGAGACACGGGCCCGACUCCUACGGGAGGCAGCAGUAAGGAAUAUUGGUCAAUGGACGCAAGUCUGAACCAGCCAUGCCGCGUGGAGGAUGAAGGUCCUCUGGAUUGUAAACUUCUUUUAUCUGGGAAGAAACCCAUGAAUUCUUUUGUGGUUGGCGGUACCAGAUGAAUAAGCACCGGCUAACUCCGUGCCAGCGCCGCGGUAAU